rnacentral:rRNA from 1 species
UACGGAGGAUGCAAGCGUUAUCCGGAAUGAUUGGGCGUAAAGCGUCCGCAGGUGGUACUUCAAGUCUGCUGUCAAAGAGUUUGGCUCAACCAAAUAAAGGCAGUGGAAACUGAAAAACUAGAGUGCGUUCGGGGUAGAGGGAAUUCCUGGUGUAGCGGUGAAAUGCGUAGAGAUCUGGAGGAAUACCGGUGGCGAAGGCGGCCCCCUGGACGAAGACUGACGCUCAGGUGCGAAAGCGUGGGGAGCAAACAGG